rnacentral:lncRNA from 1 species
GUCUGACCAUUAUGACCGAAGAAGCGACCACUCGUCAACGCCAUCGGCCAUGGCUAAAAUAUUAAUUAUUUUGUUGGAUCCACGAAGGAGCUUACACACCAACUUGCCAAAAUUGACACUUUAAUUUCAAUCAAUACAAACGUUUCGUCAAUUACAUAUUAACCACUAAGUUACAUAUCGUCCAAAAAUCAAACUAAUUUAUCCGGUAACAAUUUGAAG